rnacentral:piRNA from 1 species
UAGGUCUUGUUAAAUUGACUUGCGAUGUCC